rnacentral:lncRNA from 1 species
GGCGGAGGGACGGUACGGCAAGGGGGGGCACGUGCCGUACCGGCGACUGGAAAAUGCUUUGAAGGGGGAUGAAGGUGCCGCACCGGCGCAGCCGGUGGUGCCGCAGGCCGCAGCAGUGCAGUUGCAGCGUCCCCCCUUUGGAGGAUGAAGAAGAAGGAAGGCGGCUGGCUGGAAAUAAUAGAAGUUUGAAAGUUUUAUUUUUUUUUUUU